rnacentral:rRNA from 1 species
UACAGAGGGGGCAAGCGUUGUUCGGAAUUACUGGGCGUAAAGGGCGCGUAGGCGGCCUUCUAAGUCGAACGUGAAAUCCCUGGGCUCAACCCAGGAACUGCGUCCGAUACUGGAAGGCUUGAAUCCGGGAGAGGGAUGCGGAAUUCCAGGUGUAGCGGUGAAAUGCGUAGAUAUCGGGAGGAACACCGGUGGCGAAGGCGACCAUCUGGACGGAUACUGACGCUGAGACGCGAAAGCGUGGGUAGCAAACAGG